UAACCUAAACAUUUAUUUAUUUAAAUGUUUGUUAUACACGAUUUUUAUACGAGAAAUGGCAACAAUUACAUGCUAUAUGACAAUGAAAAUGCAAGAAAUAUUUAUAGUGAGAAGUUAAAAGAUAUAAAAAUGAAGUGAAGUGAAGGAUAACGGCAUUGCAAAUUAAUGAAUCUUGUCACUUGUCAAUGGUCCGGCUGGUGUUGACAGAAGAUAAAGGAAAAGGAGAGGAACAAUAAUUAUUAUUAAAUUUUAAGCAUCAAAAAAUUCCAAAACUAUUGUGGUGUUGAAAUCCAGUAAGUUGUGUUUUAAUCCAAUCCUGUUCCUAGGCCUUGUUAUUCAAAGUAACAAAAUGCAGUAAAUUUUCUUGUAAAGCUUGGAGCAUUACAAAUGUUUGGUGUUAAUGUAUGAGAGUACUUCACAUGUAAACAAUAUUGAUGAAUUGUCUGCUUAUUUGGGGCCAAAUAAGAAGGAGAGAAAUUUUCUUGGAAAAGAAUCGAAAGCAAUAAAGAUAAGAUAUCAUGACAGAAGAAUGCAGAAGGGUUGCUCAGCUAUUAACUUCGCCUUAUAAUCUUUAUUUGUAUUUCAAUUGUGUUGUAAGAAGUAUUUUUUAAACAGUAAAAC